AUUGAACGCUGGCGGCAGGCUUAACACAUGCAAGUCGAACGAGUCGCGGACGGGUGAGUUUUGCUUGGGAAUCUGGCUUAUGGAGGGGGAUAACUACGGGACACUGUCGCUAAUACCGCGUCCCAUAGGAUGAGCCCAAGUGGGAUUAGGUAGUUGGUGGGGUAAUGGCCUACCAAGCCGACGAUCGCUAGCUGGGCUGAGAGGAUGACCAGCCACACCGGGACUGAGACACGGCCCGGACUCCUACGGGAGGCAGCAGUGGGGAAUAUUGCGCAAUGGGGGAAACCUGACGAAGCCAUGGCGCGUGAAUGAAGAAGGCCUUCGGGUUGUAAAGUUCUUUCGGUGACGAGGCGUUAAACAAAGAAGAAGCACCGGCUAACUCCGUGCCAGCAGCCGCGGUAAGUA
rnacentral:rRNA from 1 species